GCUUACGGCCAUACCACCCUGAGAACGCCCGAUCUCGUCUGAUCUCGGAAGCUAAGCAGGGUCGGGCCUGGUUAGCACUUGGAUGGGAGACGGCCUGGGAAUACCAGGUGCUGUAAGCU
rnacentral:rRNA from 1 species